rnacentral:rRNA from 1 species
UGCGCAGGCGGCCGUGUGUGUGAGGCGUGAAAGCCCGGAGCUCAACUCCGGAAUGGCACCUCAAACUACACGGCUAGAGCAUUGGAGAGGGUAGCAGAAUUCACGGUGUAGCAGUGAAAUGCGUAGAUAUCGUGAGGAAUACCAGAGGCGAAGGCGGCUACCUGGACAAUUGCUGACGCUCAGGCACGAAAGCGUGGGGAGCAAAAGGGAUUAGAUACCCCUGUAGUCCACGCCCUAAACGGUGCACACUAGGUCUUGGCGGAUUCGACCCCAUCAGGGCCCAAGCUAACGCGUUAAGUGUGCCGCCUGAGGACUACGGCCGCAAGGCUAAA